rnacentral:rRNA from 1 species
CACCAAGGCGACGACGGGUAGCCGGCCUGAGAGGGCGACCGGCCACACUGGGACUGAGACACGGCCCAGACUCCUACGGGAGGCAGCAGUGGGGAAUAUUGCGCAAUGGGCGAAAGCCUGACGCAGCGACGCCGCGUGGGGGAUGAAGGCCUUCGGGUUGUAAACCCCUUUCAGCAGGGACGAAGCGAAAGUGACGGUACCUGCAGAAGAAGCGCCGGCUAACUACGUGCCAGCAGCCGCGGUAACACGUAGGGCGCAAGCGUUGUCCGGAAUUAUUGGGCGUAAAGAGCUCGUAGGCGGUCUGUUGCGUCCGCUGUGAAAACUCGGGGCUUAACCCCGAGCUUGCAGUGGAUACGGGCAGACUAGAGGUAGGUAGGGGAGAAUGGAAUUCCCGGUGUAGCGGUGAAAUGCGCAGAUAUCGGGAGGAACACCGGUGGCGAAGGCGGUUCUCUGGGCCUUACCUGACGCUGAGGAGCGAAAGCGUGGGGAGCGAACAGGAUUAGAUACCCUGGUAGUCCACGCCGUAAACGUUGGGCGCUAGGUGUGGGAUCCUUCCACGGAUUCCGUGCCGCAGCUAACGCAUUAAGCGCCCCGCCUGGGGAGUACGGCCGCAAGGCUA